CCUUGGUGCACUCCAUUGUUGAGCCUUUAAAUUCAGUAGCCAUUUAAUAUGGAAGACCGAUUCUUGAGCCCACAAUUUAUUGCCAACCGUUUGGGUUUAUUAUUAGAUUAGACAGGGUUUGAUAAACUCGGAUCAGCCCAAAUCAAAAUUAAAACCCAAACGUUGGUUCGUCGUGAGACUGUCCUCAGCUAAGCUUAGGGUUGGGGGAGUGAGCGGAGAGUCCGGUUUCAAAUUCGCUUUUUCUUCUUCUUCUUCUUCUUCUUCUUUGCCUCUUGUCUCACCUCUUUACUCAGCACCACCAGCGCGAAAGUUCUUUUUGAAUUUUCUUUUCACCAUCUUUGAUUCGUUUCUCGCUUAUCUUUGGCUUCAAUUUUCUGUGAGAAACCAUGCCGAAGAACAAGGGAAAAGGAGGAAAGAACAGAAAGA